rnacentral:rRNA from 1 species
UACGAAGGGUGCAAGCGUUACUCGGAAUUACUGGGCGUAAAGCGUGCGUAGGUGGUUUGUUAAGUCUGAUGUGAAAUCCCCGGGCUCAACCUGGGAAUGGCGUUUGAAACUACGGAGCUGGAGUGUGGCAGAGGGAGGUAGAAUUCCACGUGUAGCGGUGAAAUGCGUAGAUAUGUGGAGGAAUACCGAUGGCGAAGGCAGCCUCCUGGGCCAACACUGACGCUCAUGCACGAAAGCGUGGGGAGCAAACAGG